GUAGUUAGCCGAUACUUCUUCCUGGCCUACCGUCCUUCCUCAUCAGCCAGAAAAGCCCUUUACAACCCGAAGGCCUUCGUCGGGCACGCGGCGUUGCUGCGUCAGGCUCUCGCCCAUUGCGCAAUAUCCCUUA
rnacentral:rRNA from 1 species